rnacentral:rRNA from 1 species
ACUCCUACGGGAGGCAGCAGUAGGGUAUUUUUGGCAAUGGGGGCAACCGUGACUGUUGAACGCCGCGUGAGUGAAGAUGGUUUUCGGAUCGUAAAGCUCUGAGUUAGAGAAGAACUAGUGGAGAUCAACAGGCACACAGGACGGUACCUACCA